UACAGAGGUGGCGAGCGUUGUUCGGAAUUACUGGGCGUAAAGGGAGCGCAGGCGGCCAGGUUAGUCUGAAGUGCAAGCCCGGGGCUCAACUCCGGAAUGGCUUUGGAUACUGCCAGGCUUGAGUACGUCAGAGGUGAGCGGAAUUCCAGGUGUAGCGGUGAAAUGCGUAGAUAUCUGGAGGAACAUCCGUGGCGAAAGCGGCUCACUGGGACGACACUGACGCUGAGGCUCGAAAGCGUGGGGAGCGAACGGG
rnacentral:rRNA from 1 species